rnacentral:rRNA from 1 species
AUGUCGUCCUCCACCUCCACCUCCACCAUCAACUCCGGCCUCAACAACAAUACCUCUGAGCCUCUCACUCGCACAAACUACAUCCUAUGGUGUGCCCAAGCCCGAUCACAGAUCAUGGGUGCAGGCCUGUAUGGAUAUCUCGACCAGACCGUCGAAGAACCCCCCAAAACCAUCACCACCAAGACCACAGAUGGCAAGGAUCAGGUCGUUGCAAACCCUGCCUAUGUCCCCUGGUUGAUUCAGGAUCAGCAAAUCGUGGCUUAUCUUCUGAGAAACUUGUCCAAGGAAGUCCUCGUCCAAGUCGCGUGCGAUCUGGAGCGCGUUGGGAAACAUGUUUUCCGCCGUGUCUCUGUCCCGUGCGAACAAUAUCAGGGCAGCCCCGACGAACGCACAGAAGGGGUCUCAAUCAGCAUCGGCGUACUUUGGCCAUAUGAGGUCACUCGCCGAUGA